UACGUAGGGUGCGAGCGUUGUCCGGAAUUAUUGGGCGUAAAGAGCUCGUAGGCGGUUUGUUGCGUCUAUCGUGAAAACCUGCAGCUUAACUGUGGGCUUGCGGUGGAUACGGGCAGACUUGAGUUCGGUAGGGGAGACUGGAAUUCCUGGUGUAGCGGUGAAAUGCGCAGAUAUCAGGAGGAACACCGGUGGCGAAGGCGGGUCUCUGGGCCGAUACUGACGCUGAGGAGCGAAAGCGUGGAGAGCGAACAGG
rnacentral:rRNA from 1 species